rnacentral:rRNA from 1 species
AUGUUAGCUGCAGGAAUUAUUUCUCCCAGCAUGUCUCCUUUUGCAUCUCCUGUCCUACUGGUUAAGAAGAAAGAUGGUACUUGGAGAUUCUGCGUGGACUAUAGAAGAUUAAAUGCAGUCACUGUCAAGAACAAGUUUCCUAUGCCAGUUGUGGAUGAGCUUUUAGAUGAACUAGCUGGAAGUAAGUGGUUUACCAAACUUGACCUCAAGGCAGGAUAUCAUCAGAUUAGAAUGGUGGAAGCUGAUGAACAUAAAAUUGCAUUUAAAACCCACUUUGGGCAGUUCCAAUUCAGAGUAAUGCCUUUUGGACUAUCAGAAGCUCCUGCAACCUUUCAGUGCUUCAUGAACUUCCUCCUGAAAGGUUGCACUAGAAAAUUUGUGUUGGUCUUCAUGGAUGACAUACUGGUUUUCAGCAGAAAUCUCACAGCUCAUCAACAACAUCUGCAACAUGUCUUCCAAAUUCUCAGAGAACAUCAACUCUAUGUCAAGCUCAGUAAAUGCUCCUUUGCUCAGCAACAGUUGGAGUACUUAGGUCACAUCAUUUCUGACAAAGGGGUGGCCACCGACCCAGCAAAAACAACUGCCAUGGUGCAAUGGCCAACUCCCACAAAGUCACUGAGCUCAGAGGAUUUUUGGGACUUACAGGGUACUAUAGAAAGUUUGUUCAAAAUUAUGGCAUUAUUGCCAAGCCCCUUACCAAUCUGCUGA